CUAUGCCACUCACUCACCUCUCUCAUGGUGUGAUGUGAUAAUGAACGUCGUGCGUUUUCGCUUUUAUUAAAAAAUCGUGAUCGUUGGAGACAAAGUUUAAGUGUAACUAGUUCAGUGCAGUUUUAGGUUUUAAUGUCGUGACAGUGAAAAUGCAGUUCUAUAAGGAGAGGAUUUUAAAUGCCGCACAAUUAAAGAAACUCAGUGAACACAAAUAUUCGUGUACGAGUAGCAGUAUAUUGGAUGCAUGGCUCCAGCCCUGGUGGUGCUGGCUGGUGUCGAAGACUCCGCUAUGGCUAGCGCCGAAUCUCAUUACAAUAUUAGGAUUAAUAGUUAAUAUCGUCACUACACUCAUAUUAAUCUGGUAUAGCCCAGACGCGCGCACAGACCCGCCCCGGUGGGCGUGCCUGCUGUGCGCGCUCGGCGUGUUCGUGUACCAGAGCCUGGACGCCAUCGACGGCAAGCAGGCGCGGCGCACGGGCAGCCAGUCGCCGCUGGGCGAGCUGUUCGACCACGGCUGCGACUCCAUCUCCACGGUGUUCAUCGCGCUAGGCGCCUGCACCGCCGUCAACUUGGGGGAGUACCCCACCUGGAUGUUCUUUCAGUGCUUCUGCGCAAUGACGUUGUUCUACUGCGCGCACUGGCAGGCGUACGUGACGGGCACUCUGCGUAUGGGCCGCGUCGACGUCACGGAGGCGCAGUACUCCAUCAUCGCCAUCCACCUAGUGUCCGCCACGCUCGGCGCCCGCUUCUGGUCGACGCAGAUCCCGUAUACAUCGGUGCCGUGUGCGCUGGUAGUGACCAGCGCGUGUUUCUUGGCGCAGCUCAACUUUGUGCUGGGCUUCGCUGCCACCUUCCGCGUGAGGGGCGCGGGGAAAAACGGAUCCACCGUCGCUGGCACGAGCAUCCUGUCGCCCGUGAUCCCGUUCUCGCUGGUGGUGGUGCCGGCCUUCAUCAUCUUCCAGAAGUCCGAGUCGCACGUCUACGAGAACCACCCCGCGCUCUACAUACUCGCCUUUGGGAUGGUCGCCGCCAAGGUCACUAAUAGAUUGGUGGUGGCGCAUAUGACGAAGAGCGAGAUGGACUUAUACGACUGGUCGUUGCUGGGCCCGGCCAUGCUGUUCCUUAACCAGUACUUCAACAACGCCAUACCCGAGUAUUACGUGCUAUGGCUUUGCACGAUAUGGGUGUGCGUGGACCUGGUCCGCUACUGCGGGCAGGUGUGCAUGGAGAUCUGCGCGCACCUGAAGAUCGCGCUGUUCCGCAUCCCCUACCCCCCCGCCGCGCCCGCCCCCGCCGCGCCCGCCAACGGUACGGCCCGCCGCGUGUCCGCGCGUAAGAGAACACAACAACACUCGUAGGACACACUCUAGGCUCGUGCUCAAUUGAUCUUGACGCCGCUCGCUGCGGUGUGCGGGGGUAAAUGAGAAGCCUCGGAUGACAGAUUUUAAUAACGUUAUUACUUAUUACGGUCAGAUGGCAGUCACUUUCGUAACAACUAGAGCCUACGUCAAUGGGAUUAGUUGUCAAGCUGGCUGAUAUGACCCGUGGCAAAAUGCCGGGAUAACGCGAGGAAGAAGUAUUACUUAUUACGGCUUCAUGUAAACCAUUUUCAUAUCCGUCUCGUUUAGGGUUGCCAGAUGGUCGGGAUUUAGCGGGAUUCUCCCGAUUUUUAGCAUGUGUUCCCGAUUCCCGACAAAGUGUAAACUGUCCCGAAAAACGGGUUCACGUUAUAAAACAACAAUUUCAAGUUCCGAACUGUCGUCGAGCGAGCGAGUUGACGUAGUGCCAAUAAUGUAAAAUAUCGUUGUGUUUAAUACAAUUACUUUAAUUUGAAUGUAUUUUUUUUCCCGACUUAAGUCCCAAAAUCCCGAAAAAUUUAUAUUGUUUCCCGAUAAUAGCGCCUUUCGAUCUGGCAACCCUAGUCUCGUUCUAAAACCGUUUUAAUUAAAACUAUUUUAACUCUUUGUAGGACACAAAAGACAAUCUAUGUUGUAACGCAAAAAUAACCACCCUAAGCGCCACUUGCACCAUCCCAGUAACCCAGUGUCAAACUGUACUGGUAACCAUGGUAACUCCAGGUUUAACCGGUUAACCCAGGGUUAAUGAAUGAUGCAAGUGGCUCUAAGUAUCUUUUUGUAUUUUAAAAAUGGCAAUGGAACUUUCUGGGGUUAAUUUUUUUCAUUAGAACCUGUUAGAACCAAUAAAAUUGGUUAAAAACAAAACAUGUCUGGACACACUACCGCGUGUCUAGAUAAUAUCCAGCCGAGGCUUGUUGCAAAGCCUACAUUUACUCACUCACCCGCCCUCCACUCUGCCUAUCGAAUUUAAUCGGUUUAAUUAAAAUAGGUUAAAGCUCGGAGUAAUUAACAAUGGAGCCGCCAUUAACAGGCGUUCCCCUCUGUCGAAAAUAGGCGGCCAAUGGUCAACCUCAUGUCAACCAUAUGUAUGGACUGACGUUUAUCUGACAUGACGUACCUAUACAUUUGAUGCGCAAAAAACGGCAGACUAUUUUGUACCGAAAAUUUUAGACAUGGCGUCUCCGUUGGUUAUAUCCUCCAAGGGUUAAAGUUCUUAAAUCAUGCCUUGAUCAACACCGCACGCCGCAGCGACGGGCGUUCCUGUCUCGCCCGUCGAUUAUUGUUAGAAAUAAAGCUGUAAUCGGCCUGGGGUAGUCACUGUACCAUCGCACACACUGUUAACUGUACAUAGGUGGACUUUAUGCUUUUUGUAAUAAGGACCACCAAUGUACAGUUGGGAGUGUUGCUGUUUGUACAAUAGAAGUUGCGGUGCGGUACUUUUUAUAAUGAAUUAAUGACGCAAUGUGUAAUCGGCCGAACGUAAAGAUUUGCCGCUCCGAUCUAUAUAAAAUUGAAGACUAAAGUCGGACCGAGCCAAGCAUAGACUUGUAGCAAUAGUGUGUGGACGAAGUUAGUGCAGAGUUAGCUUAGACGGACUCCAUUCGAUCGUUAUAAUGUCAUCAAAACGACUAUUAAACUUGAACUUAUUUCAAUAACACGGGCAAAAGUGUAUAAUAAUCUAUAAAUAUCAUGAAAAAAUAUUAUAAAAACUCAGUCACCAGUUGCACGUUUACGCCAAGCCAAAAUCAUUAUGGACAAAUCAUUCGUCGAUUUAAACUAGUAAUCUUUAGUCCCAAAAGAAAAUAUGCAGCUAGAAAAACCGCCAAGUUAUAUCGCGUUAUCAGAGACAAAAAUAUAAUAUGCAAAAAAUUAAGUGCAGCACAGUCUACAUUAGCUAUUAGCAGUCGUUUCGUCUGUACAUUAACAACAUGAUUCUUUUGUCUAACCUUUGGUCUCUGUAUAAGGCUAAGGUGUUGUCACCCGACAAUUAUUGGUGUUUAAUUAUAAUGCUUAAUUUAUUACAUAUAGAAUAUCAAAAAAGCUGCUCGUUCCCGAUCCUAACUUGACAAGGGACGGAGAACGUUUCAAACUAUGGACAACUCUAUAGCAAUAACUAGCUAUAAUAUAUAAACUUACGUGUAUCUUCGUAUCUUUAGACCCGAUGUAUGUUACUGACGUACUUAGGAAAAGAAAAGAGAACCACCUUAAAUCUAUCGUUCAUUUGCAGGUAAUGCCAAAUCUAUAGAUUUCAUCAUAAUUGAUUUCGAAUAACGGAAACACUUUUAGUAUUUUGUUCCUUUUGAAGACAAGUUAUUAAAUAACAUUUUAAAAUGAGACUUAGCGAAACGAUACUUUAUUACAUUAUCAUUGCAUGAUUCCUUAAUGCUGAAAAAUAAUAGACGCUAGCAACUCAGUGAACUACCUCGCACAAAUGCUCUCUGAGUGCUAUAUCCACGGAUAUUAACAUAAUAGAUCGGAAGAACCCUGUAUAUUAUAUCAUAAGUAUAUUAGAUAGCCGAUAAAUUAAAGUCCAAAUAUUUUUGCUACGAGCCGAACCAGCGUAGGUUGAUGUUUACAUUGUUGUUUUUGUAUAAUUAGCUGUAAAUACCUACAAUAUUAAACGUAGAGAGCGUUAUAAGUAACUUCUUUUUCAAACGAUAAUUAACCUUAGUCAGUUUUCACUGUCAAGGAAAAUGUAUCUUGAAGUAAAAUAAUUUAAAUCGUUUUUCCCGCGAAGAGAUGAAAAAAACAUACUCGUGAGAAAUAUGCUGACUCUAUUGUAAGCUUUUGACACUGAACGAAUCUACGGUUGUUUUAGAUAUUCAGCGGGUAGAGGGUAGUAAUUGUUGCGAAAUAUUCAUAGGGAGCUACGAGCAGUAAGUACGUGUGAUCUAGCUGAAACUUAACGUGUUGGUAGUCAUAACUGUAUAGGUAAACUGAAUCAAACAUAGUAAAAAAAUCAGAUCUGUCUGUAUUCUAGCUAAUUCUAUGUAGUAACUUGGCUAGUUAGACGCUAAAUCUAGUAACAUCCUAUUAAAAGCUAUCUAAAUAGGUUGAGCCCUGUUGUAGUGUUUAUCUAGGUAAUUAAAUUUCAUGAGAGUGACCUAGGAGAAUGCCUGUAAAUUAUCUAAUUCUAGCCUAUAAGUUGCUAAACUAACUUUAAUGUUCGCGCUUUCAUUGUUUUCUAAUCCCAGUAACGUUCACUGCGGUACGGGGUUUAUUCGACCCCGUAUAAAUAUGGUUAAUUCUGCAGUUGAUAGCCGCAUCGAACGUGUUAAUGAAUGAAAAUGAGGACGCGGACAUCUUUCUGCUAUUCUAUCUUCUAAUUAAAUAUUGAAGACACUGGUGUUGGCUGCAUCCCUCGUAAUAAACACGCAUAGAAGCGAAGCUACUACUAUUUACCGGCCCUGGCAUUCAACGUUAGGGCUGCCACACAAUUUCGUUAUUUUUUUCGGAUAUUUUGCUCAACUUCAGUGUGUAAUAUUAAACAGCUUUUGCUUUUAUAAGUGUUUAUUAUGAAUUCUAUAUAUUAUGUAUAGCGCUAUAUUAUCGAGGCCAGCAUCAAUGUAUGCUUGCAGCUUGCGAUGAGGUCUUCAGCCCAUUCUCUGUCUAGUCUUACAAUAUUUAUUUCGUCGGUGGCUUACCAAGCGUUAUCCAAGUCUGUUUUACUUGAUAAUGUAUCAUAGUUGUGUUACCAGUUGUUGCAAUAGCACGGCUAUUGCUUUUCGUUGUGAGAAUAUUUAGUAGAAUCAAAUUGUUAGGGUUCUAUUGGUUAUUGUUUUCAAAGGUAUUGUUACUUUACAACUGACAUGUCUUCUGUACGGCCAAGACAUUUAGGUUUGCUAAGUUAUGUACAGACAAAAUCGGAUCCCUUGGCAGGGUCGCUCAAGUUUCCGGUAGGGUAGGAGAACUGUAUAUACAUAUGUUAUAUAUUGUGUAAUGUCACGAGCCGGCUGUAUCGUAUGACGUGUUUUUUAUGUGAAAUAUAAGCAAAUGUACAUUUCGAA